rnacentral:rRNA from 1 species
AAGGAAAGCUUGCUUUUCUGAAUCUAGUGGCGAACGGGUGAGUAACACGUAGGUAACCUGCCCAUGUGCCCGGGAUAACUUCUGGAAACGGAUGCUAAAACCGGAUAGGUAGCAGACAAGCAUUUGACUGCUAUUAAAGUGGCUAAGGCCAUGAACAUGGAUGGACCUGCGGUGCAUUAGCCAGUUGGCGGGGUAACGGCCCACCAAAGCGACGAUCAGUAGCCGGCCUGAGAGGGUGAACGGCCACAUUGGGACUGAGACACGGCCCAAACUCC